rnacentral:lncRNA from 1 species
AAAAGACCAUCUUACAGCCCAUCUCCCACCCCAGCUCCUGCAGCCCAAAGGCCCAACACACCAUAGUUUGUGGGAUACAAUUCAUACAGUCAUUUCACUUACAACAGCUACAGGCUGGAGGGGAACCCGGGCACCAGAAGCCGGGUCAGGACAUUCUCUGGCAUUUCAGUUUCAAAGCCUCCAAAGCCACCAGAUAAGCUGCUGAUGCCCUACAUGAGGUACAGUGGAAAGUUCUGGGACCAACUAAAGGCUUCCAACCCUGACCCAAAGUUGCGGGAGAUUGGCAAGAUUAUUGGUGGCGUGUGGCGAGUUAAGUGACUAUACCAAGUGGAGAAGACAGAGUGCUGGGACUCUAGGAAGGCCUGCCAUAAUGUCAUGUAUACCUUGCGUUUAUUAAUGCAAAAGGUCAUGCGGAAGCCACAGGAGAGGGAGAAAGUCAACAGCGACAGUCUCGCAUGGAGAACAGGGAACCUUAUAUGUGCAUUCAGCCUGCUGAGGACCCAGGUGAUGAUGGUGAUGGCUUUUCAAUGAAGCACACAGCCACUGUCCAUUUCCAGAGACAGGUCCAAUCUUUAAUGGUUCCUCAGAAACUAGAAGCCAAGCUUCUCCAGAUAAAGGAGCGACACCAGGAAGAGAAGAGGUUCCUGGAAAGCACGGAUCCCUUUAACGGUGAACUUAAAAGGUUAUACGGUCGAAGAUGAGAGUAAACAUGGCGAAAAUUGCAGCUGAUAUUGCAUGGGCGGAGGAACAGGCCUGCAGAAGGCGGGAGGAGAAGGGGAAAGGAGGCAGCAGAGCAAGCUGAGUGCAGUCAGAGCAUCAUCCCCGGGAAAGAGCAAGCGGAAAACAAAGCUGAGGAGGAGAAGGACAAAGUGCACAGCCGAUGGAUGGAGACAAAGAAGACACGCCUUGAAGAGACAGCUGAGAGCCAACAGAAUGGGGAAGGCAGUCUACUCCUGAGGACAAGGAGAGGGGGUAGAGGGGUGAUUGACAGCUCAGAGGGAGAGGGCCCAGUGAUGGUAAUACUGGCUCAGAGAGCAGCAACGUGACAUAGGGGAGCCGCCCAUAGACCCCAUGCCAGAAGACAAGAAAAAGAAAUAA